rnacentral:rRNA from 1 species
GUCUUAUUGAAUUUAAUCUUAAGUCAAACCUGCUCAAUGAAUUUUUANAUAGCUGCAGUAACAAUAACUGUACAAAGGUAGCAUAAUAAUUAGAUUUUUAAUUUAAAUCUUGAAUGAAAGGUUUAAUGAAAUAUAAACUGUCUCAAAUAAAUUGAUUAAAUUUAUUUUUUAAGUUAAAAAACUUAAAUAAUAUUAAAAGACAAGAAGACCCUAUAGAAUUUUAUAUUAAUUUAUUAAUUAAUAUUAUUAAAUUAUUAAUUUAAUUAAUAAAAUAUUUAAUUGGGGCAAUUUUAAAAUUUAAAAAACUUUUAAAUAUUUAAUACAAUAAUAUUUGAAUUUAUAUUCUUAUAAUAUAAGAUAAUAAAAUUAAUUACCUUAGGGAUAACAGCAUAAUUUAUUUUUUUAGACCAAAUAAAUAAAUAAGAUUAUGACCUCGAUGUUGAAUUAAGAAAUAAUUAAAUAGAAAAAAAUUUAAAAUUUAAGU